rnacentral:misc_RNA from 1 species
UGCUAAGCAUGUCUUUACCGAUGUGAUAUUAUAAAUUAUUGAGGUUGUUUUUUAUUCUGACAUAGUUUUUCAAUAAAACAUUUUUGCUCGAUAACGCUUAAACUUUUUUGGGUUCCAUCCUUGUUAAAUCAAAUUUUUUAGUUCUCUUCAAAAAACCAGUUGUUUUAAAAAGAAGUUUGCACUAUUAAUCAGAAAUAGUUCACAGUUUAUGAGCGUAUUUCCUUCAUGCAGUGCAUAGAAUAAUGUUUUCAUACUCACUUUACCCUCAGGUGCUUCAAACUAACUUAGUUUGAUUUUUCGUUGCCUGCGGGCCAUACAUGUAUGAUAUAUUUCAUUUUUCCUUUUCUCAUUUGUAUUUGACAUUUGAAUGGUAAGUCUUUUGAUUUGGACUACGUAUUGAAUGAUGAUGAACAAUAUGCUGGCACCCGUCUCAUCUCUUCGUUAUUGUCGAAAGAAAUGAUGAUUAUUUUGCUGGACACCAAAUACGCUGGGGUCCCUGAUUUCAAUAUUUAGUUUAAACAUUGUUUUUUUUUACUGUUUACUAACAUCAACUUAGAUUCUAUUUAUGCAUUGAAUUUAUUAGUUUUUUGUAUCUUCAAAUUACCAAUUUCUUUUUUUUUAUAGCUUUUUCUAUUUGUAAUACAGUUUCACUUUAUCAACACA